AUGGACUACCGGCCCCUGGCCUCAGCUCUCGACGCCUGCGUCACGCCCAUCACCCUCGACGAGCUCUUCGCCAUGCUCAGCAACUUCGAUCAGCGCGUGGCCCACUUCCAGAACUCCGGCGGCGGCUUCAAGUCAUCUGCGAACGCGGCCACCCGCGGACGU
rnacentral:rRNA from 1 species